UGUCUGUCUCUCUGCAGGCUGUCAGGCUGUAGAGUCACAGAAGAAGGCUGUUCUUCCCUGGCUUCUGCUCUGAGGUCAAAUCCCUCACACCUGAAAGAGCUGGACCUGAGUGACAAUGACCUGCAGGAUUCAGGGGUGAAGCUGCUCUCUGCUGGACUGGGGGAUUCACACUGUACACUGGAGAUACUGAGGCUGUCAGGCUGUAGAGUCACAGAAGAAGGCUGUUCUUCCCUGGCUUCUGCUCUGAGGUCAAAUCCCUCACACCUGAAAGAGCUGGACCUGAGCUACAAUCACCCAGGUGACUCUGGAGUGAAGCUGUUCUCUGCUUUACUGGAUGAUCUCAGCUGUAAACUGGAGAAACUGAAUGUGGACCACAGUGGAGAGUGCAGAACCAGACCAGGGAUGCAGAAAUGUAAGUCGGU